rnacentral:rRNA from 1 species
AGCGAACGCUGGCGGCAGGCCUGACACAUGCAAGUCGAACGAAGUCUUCGGACUUAGUGGCGGACGGGUGAGUAACACGUGGGAACGUGCCUUUAGGUUCGGAAUAACUCAGGGAAACUUGUGCUAAUACCGAAUGUGCCCUUCGGGGGAAAGAUUUAUCGCCUUUAGAGCGGCCCGCGGCUGAUUAGCUAGUUGGUGAGGUAAAGGCUCACCAAGGCGACGAUCAGUAGCUGGUCUGAGAGGAUGAUCAGCCACAUUGGGACUGAGACACGGCCCAAACUCCUACGGGAGGCAGCAGUGGGGAAUCUUGCGCAAUGGGCGAAAGCCUGACGCAGCCAUGCCGCGUGAAUGAUGAAGGUCUUAGGAUUGUAAAAUUCUUUCACCGGGGACGAUAAUGACGGUACCCGGAGAAGAAGCCCCGGCUAACUUCGUGCCAGCCGCCGCGUAAGAC